CCUACGGGAGGCAGCAGUGGGGAAUAUUGGACAAUGGGGGCAACCCUGAUCCAGCCAUGCCGCGUGUGUGAAGAAGGCCCUCGGGUUGUAAAGCACUUUCAGUGAGGAAGAACGCCUGGUGGUUAAUACCCAUCAGGAAAGACAUCACUCACAGAAGAAGCACCGGCUAACUCCGUGCCAGCAGCCGCGGUAAUACAGAGGGUGCGAGCGUUAAUCGGAAUUACUGGGCGUAAAGCGCGCGUAGGUGGCUUGAUAAGCCGGUUGUGAAAGCCCCGGGCUCAACCUGGGAACGGCAUCCGGAACUGUCAAGCUAGAGUGCAGGAGAGGAAGGUAGAAUUCCCGGUGUAGCGGUGAAAUGCGUAGAGAUCGGGAGGAAUACCAGUGGCGAAGGCGGCCUUCUGGACUGACACUGACACUGAGGUGCGAAAGCGUGGGUAGCAAACAGGAUUAGAUACCCCUGUAGUC
rnacentral:rRNA from 1 species